GGCUGGUGGAAGGUAGUAAGUUAUCUCAGCCAAUGUUCUCACAGGCAGUUACAGAUCCAGCUCCUCCUGCUCUCUCUCCCCUUUCUCACUACUGCACUUGACUAGCCUAAA
rnacentral:Y_RNA from 1 species